CCCAUUUAUCUUCCCCUAAAAAUCAUUUAUUAUACUUCAAAAGCAUUUCACUCUACUCUGAACAAGGGCAUUUAAGCAUCUGAGUCUCCCUGAGUUAUUUGGUACUCACCUUCCCCUGAUAGCUUCUGCCCCCAAACAAUUAUCUGUGCCUUUUUUCCUGCUAUGUAUGUUGUCACUUCAGUUCAGGAAUCCUACAGUCCCCUCUCCUUCCACUACUGAACACAACUCUUCCCAGGCAUCUUUUUGUGAAUGCAUGUACUUUGCUCUACACUCCUGCCGCCCCCAAUACCAGCCCUUGCAAACUGAACUACUUGCUUGUGCUGUCUGGAGGAUGAGGUGGAGACUGGAAGGAUGAGAGAGCUGAUGGUGCUCUGGAGUAAGAUCCGAUGGAGGACUUCCCUGCCACAGUGGGGUGCUUUGAAAGUAAGGAGACACAUUCAACAUGGUUUUCAUGGGGUAGACUUGGAGUGGGAGUCCAAACAUAAUAUGACAUCGGAGUGACUCCUUGAGGUGCUCAGGUAGGUUGCUAUUGGGUGUUGAACCUGAGGUGGGUGUUGCAGCAUGUGUGAUUUGCCUGGGCAUUGGUCUUUGUCAGUACUGUGUGAUGUCUUUCACAGCUGAAGAUUCUGUGUAAGGUUAUCCACCUCCACCUAUUCUAGACUGUCCACACACUUAGUGAGACUUCAUUAAGGUCAAACUAAUGGAAACGAAUAACACAUGUUGAAUACUUUGUGUUCAAAUGGAACUCCAUUUUAAAGUGGGUCUUUUUUGUUCUGAUUUAAGUUCCUCCCAUCCUUCUAGAAGUUCUAAUCCUCCUAGGCUCACUGAGGGGAUCACAUCACCUGAAUCUCUACUUCAGUGGAGUAGGUUUGUUUCCACAAGAAAAGUGCCAAGAAGGUAAGAGAUGUGGGAUAGUGAUCCACUGGUGGUGGUGACCAGGACAAAGCAGCCUGGCCUUAGAGUAGGUCCCGGUACAGCCCAUGCCAUCUGUUUUCUGCAGCUCUGUUCCUCAGGAUGUGUCUGAAAACCAGGGGACCAAGAGCAUCAAUGUCAGCCGGAACUUGAUAUCCUACAAAAAUCUCAGCCCCACUCUAGACUGUAGCAACAGAACCUGCGAUCAGCCAUAUUCCCAGGUGGCUAAACAGCAUUUGAGAAACAAGAACACACUAGAAGGCAACAGGUGACUAGCUUCAAGAUGACCAGACUGAUCCGUUUCUGAACAGCAGGACAGGUGGUGACUGCCGGUACCCAAACCUUGAGAAAGUUUUUAUUCGCCCUUCCAUCUGGUGGACAUGGGUUUACUUUGCUGUGCAAAUUUAAUAUGAAUUCUGUAAUUUUUCUCUUGUUUUUUUUAGGGAUAAGUUUUCCUUAUGUUGCCCCAGCUGGCCUUGGACCUCUGGACUGAGGUCGUUCUCCCAUCUGAAACUCAAGGGGGUGUUUGACCACAGUUUUGUACCACCACACCUGGCUUCUGCAAUACUUAAUCAUCCAAGCAUCCUUGGAAUCUUAUUUCAAUUUGUUUCCAUCUGAGUUUCAAUUUGUUUUUCAAUUUCUGAGCAGAGGUAAGUAGAAAAUACAAGGGAAAGCCAGUUUAUUGAUUUAUUUUCCUGAAGGCAACAGUUGGUGAAGAAAGUGAUGAGAUCUGUAAUGAAAGAACAAAACGGGUUUACACUCAAGGUUUGUAAAACUCAAUUAUUUCUUCUCCCU
rnacentral:lncRNA from 1 species